AAAAUACUCCCUCCAUCCGGAAUUACUUGUCAUCAAAAUGGAUGAAAAUGGAUGUAUCUAGAACUAAAAUACAUCUAGAUACAUCCAUUUCAAUGUCAAGUAUUUCCGGACGAAGGGAGAAGCAU
rfam:Triticum aestivum genome assembly, contig: Triticum_aestivum_CS42_TGACv1_scaffold_526926_6DL